rnacentral:rRNA from 1 species
GUGAGUAACACGUGGAUAACCUACCUAUGAGACUGGGAUAACUUCGGGAAACCGGAGCUAAUACCGGAUAAUAUAUUGAACCGCAUGGUUCAAUAGUGAAAGACGGUUUUGCUGUCACUUAUAGAUGGAUCCGCGCCGCAUUAGCUAGUUGGUAAGGUAACGGCUUACCAAGGCAACGAUGCGUAGCCGACCUGAGAGGGUGAUCGGCCACACUGGAACUGAGACACGGUCCAG